AACGAACGCUGGCGGCAUGCCUAACACAUGCAAGUCGAACGAAGCCUUCGGGCUUAGUGGCGCACGGGUGCGUAACACGUGGGAAUCUGCCCUUCGGUUCGGAAUAACAGUUAGAAAUGACUGCUAAUACCGGAUGAUGACGAAAGUCCAAAGAUUUAUCGCCGAAGGAUGAGCCCGCGUAGGAUUAGGUAGUUGGUAGGGUAAUGGCCUACCAAGCCGACGAUCCUUAGCUGGUCUGAGAGGAUGAUCAGCCACACUGGGACUGAGACACGGCCCAGACUCCUACGGGAGGCAGCAGUGGGAAUAUUGGACAAUGGGCGAAAGCCUGAUCCAGCAAUGCCGCGUGAGUGAUGAAGGCCUUAGGGUGUAAAGCUCUUUUACCAGGGAUGAUAAUGACAGUACCUGGAGAAUAAGCUCCGGCUAACUCCGUGCCAGCAGCCGCGGUAAU
rnacentral:rRNA from 1 species